rnacentral:lncRNA from 1 species
UAAAGGACAGAGGUGGAGCUAGAGGCCAGAUUUAGCUGUAGGUAUAGGCAAAGGUAUUAAAGAUAACAAAAUAGCCCUUGCAUACUUACUUAGUUUACCUGUUUAGUAUCGUGGAAAUCCAGAAUAAAUGCGACUGCUAACAUAGGACCUAUUUAAGGAGUGACAGCUUGUAUUGGUGAGAAGACAGCCUUUCCUUUGAUUGCAUCAAGAGUAAGGAAUGCAUGGAUCAUUAAACAGAACUAUCAGAUGAACUAUUGGACCCACAAAGUAAGGAGGAUAGCAAUUUCCAGUGACAAGGAGAGAAAAAAGGUUCUGGAGGCAGAUGGGAUGUGA